CCACUGCACUCCAGUCUGGGCGACAGAGCAAGACUCCAUGUGGAGUCGAUAUCAAGAGAUUUCAGAAGCACAAUUUUUGGAACUUGGGCAGCUGGUGAUCAUUGGUCCUGGCAUCUUU
rnacentral:snRNA from 1 species